CUGCAGUUCGAAAGUGUCGUUUGUUCGUUGUCAUGCAGUUCUUUUGCGGGGUGGCUAAUGGUAGGCCACUCGAGUCAAUUGUUAACACUUCAUGCCUUGAUGCUGUUUAUGUGUUAUAUAUUGCCAUAUCAUAAACGAAAUGUCACUUCUGUUCCACUGGCCGAUAUCAUUCCCCAUCUGUAAGCAUAAAAAAGAUCGAUGGGCAUUAAAAAAAAAAACUUUUGUUGGCAUCCAGCUAGCAUUAACAGCUAACUAACAGACAGAUCGGUUGGUUUGUUGCGCACUUAAAUUAACGCAGUGGCCAGUUACUGAAAAAUAAUCAAAUACAAGUAAAAUUAAAACACAGUUUAACUACAUUAUUUAGCCACACCGAGCUGAUUUUUACAGAGCAAACACACGAGGCUGCCAUCCGCAGCGCCAUCUUGAGCAACAACCUAGCCCCGCGAGCUUAGCUACCACAAUGUACUAGCUAGUGCAGCCGCCUACAAGAAGUCGUUAUCUUCCAGUAAUGUUAGGUCGUUUCAAGGAAACUACAUGCCAGUGGAAAAGGAGUGACAUGCUGUUACUAUCCUAUAUGGAAUAAUGCAAGUAGUUCACAAAAAAAUGGGGUCAGGACAGUGCAGUAGUAGGUGUGCCAGUAUCACUUUCUUCCCGGAAGUAGACCUUUUGUCUUGAAGUAAACUGCUGUCAAGUGUAAGCAAUAAAGGAGAGACAGACGGCGAUGGCAGACGGUUUACAGUCAGUUCAUUGGUGAUCCAGCUGGACUUGGUGUUAUGGUGAUGCUCCCAUCUGAUAUGGAGACAUGGACUGUCCUCUCCCUGGGACAAAAUCUAAUGCGGUGGAAUUACUAUUUUCUUACAUGGGACACUAUUCUGAUCACAUAUGCAACUACCCGCAUAACCAAACAAAAUAUGUGAAACUUGAUGAGAGACCGUACACAAGUGUUACACCGGGCAUAAACCAGUUCUGCCUCAUUCUGUUUAGGUUUUAAUUUGUGCCUCGUGUCUGUCACUCAGUAUUUUUCCAUUCCUUACUACGCUCAAGACUGCUGCACAACCAGUGAAACUGCCAAUCAAGUGUAUCACCCCUAGUCUGACAUAAAACACUAAGCAGAUUAAGCUGUUCUUGAUUAUUAUUAAUAAUUUUUAGAGAAUUGUUUUCACUUUGAAUUAAACAUUAAUUUUGAGUCACAGUUAAUCAGUGCCAGAAAAUCCUAUGUAUGUCCACUGUGGUUCAGUGUUGUAAAACAACAAUCCAUUAAGUCCAAGGGAGGUCAGUACUUGUGACAUUAGACAUUGUACAGUAAGUAGUACAGUGCAGAGCCAAACCCACAGGAAUCAUAUUCUUCAUAUUUGUCAUAACCCAGAAAAAACCCUAAAAGCCACUUCUUCAAUCUGAAAAUCUCCUUCAGUUACUGACUUUGUUAUUCUGCAUUUUGGUUUUUCUUACUUGCCUUCCUUGUCUUCAUUUAAGUACAGGUGGAAUUGUGUCGAUGUUUAUAUCUUUUUUUCCCUUUACAAAUCAAUGUGUCUCCUGAAGUUUGACUCAUUCAUCAUAGCACUAAAUACAAAUUGCAGCCGAUGGGAAUGACAUUACUUUUGCAGGUAUUUGGUUGUAAACAAAAGUAUUGGACAAACUAAAUUGUUGACUUGAUGGUGGCACUCGACGAUCGGCUGGGCAUUAUGGAUAUCUGUACAAAAUUUUGUGCCAAUCCAUCUAGUAGCUGAGAUAUUUCACUGGAUAAGUGAAAAGUUUGACCUGUUGGUGGCGCUACUAGAAAAGUCAGGGGAUCACUAAAGUCAUUAGGAUUCAUCCUAUGGGCACCAUGAACCAUGAAUUUCAUGGCAAUCCAUCCAGUAGUUACUAGGUCUGGACCAAAGUGGUGAACAAACUGACAGACCAGCAUUAGAGCCAUGUCGUUAGCAUGUGAUAGUUUACUCUCCAGGUAAAUACGUGGGAAAUAAAUGCAGCUGCAGAGUCUUUUUGAACUUGACAAGAAUAGAAUUCUGUACAAAAACACCGAAUCCUCAUUUUUUUAAAACAUGAAAAUGGUCAUAUUAAAAGUUACUGAAUAUCAGUUAUCAGUGAAAGUUGGCAUUUUGCCCUCAGGCCAGGGGGAGUGAAGGUCACACAGGUUUACUUGCACAGCAACAAAGAUUUGUGCUCAGCUGACUGAGUACAAGUGUGUGAACAAGGGAGCCGGUAGUUUUCCACUCGCCUGUCCACCAGGGCUGGAUUUAGCCAGUCUGGCCUGAGGCUGCAGUAAAAAGAUUGUAGAGGGACAUUUUGUUACAGUCAACACACACAAUUGUUUUAUCCUUGUAGUUUUAGGUGUGUGCACAUUUGUUGUGUUUAACUGUCUUCCCUUCUUAAAUUUGUGCGCCACGGCUUAGGAGACUGGCACAGCCCACCCCACAGAUUUGUUGUGAGCAGUUUCAUAUAUAUUUAUUAUGCCCAUAAAAAUUCUAAAAGUAAGAGUAAGUAAACUUAGCAAUUAUCUCAUGGCACUUUUCAGAUAGAGCAGGUCUAGAUGGUACUCUUUAUAAUAUUAUUUACAGAGACCCAACAAUUCCCACCUUUAAGAGGCUUUAAUCAGAUCCAGACUCAGGGUCUGCUGCUGCCAGUUGGGUGGAGAGAGAGAGAGAGAGAGAGAGAGAGAGAGAGAGAGAGAGAGAGAGAGAGAGAGAGAGAGAGAGAGAGAGAGAGAGA